rnacentral:misc_RNA from 1 species
AGAAGCUUCAUCUUCAUUAUCCUCUUCUUGUGAUUUCACUUGAGAAUAUUCCCUUACACUAUUAUGAAACACAGAAAUGGAUUCUCCACUAUCAUCCUCCACAUCUAGAGCUACAUCAGCAUCAUCACCACUCAAAACUGUCGCGCUCUCAAGAAACUCCGGAAACUUCACACAGAUAAGAACCAAGUAAAAUGCAGCUAAACCCAGUAAAACAUAAGACAAUUUAAACCUCCUCACACUGGAAGCUUCAUUUUUCAACCUUUUCAUCAUUA